GCUUAGAGGCAGCCAUCAUUUAAACAGUGCGUAAUAGCUGACUCAUCGAGUGAUUUCGCGCCGAAAAUGAUUGGCGAUAAAUAACGUACCGAAGCCGCGGAUAGCAGAGUGGUUCGCCAUUCUGCUGUGGUAGGAGAGCGUGAACGGUGCAGUGAAGCAGAACCGAAAGGGGACGUGGAGCGCCGUUCAGUGAGAAUGCAGACACGAGUAGCGAUAAACCAGAUGAGAAUUCUGGUCGCCGUAAACCCAAGGUUUCCUGGGCUAGGUUCGUCCUCCCAGGGUCAGUCGGGAGCUAAGAUGAGGUCGUAAGACGUAAUCGAUGCACAGCUGGUCAACAUUCCAGCACCGAUGUGGUUCAAACCGUUAGUGACGCAAGGAGAAAAGUGGCAAGAUUAUUGAAAAAUCUAGCUUAGGGGCAACCUGAAGCAAGUCACCAGACAACUUGUCUAGAAAAGCUAACGGCCCUUUUCCACAUUGCCCGUACCGCAAACCGACACAGGUGGGUGGGUGUAAAUGCACCAAGGCGCGCGAGAGAGACCUCUCUAAGGAACUCGGCACAUUAGCCCCGUAACUUCGGGAAAAGGGGUGCUCGCUUCGGCGAGCCACAGUAAAUUGCGUUUAGCGACUGUUUAACAAAAACACAGCACUCUGCCACGUCGUUAAGACAACGUAUAGGGUGUGACAAGUGACCAAUGCGGAAAGAUCAAGGCAAGUUGUUAGCCGCAAGGCGAAGCUCCGAACCUAAGUCCCCGUGAAUGUCGGCCGUAACUAUAACGGUCCUAAGGUAGCGAAAUUCCUUGUCGGGUAAGUUCCGACCUGCACGAAUCUUGUAACGACUGAACGACUGUCUCGGAGAGGUUCUCGGCGAAACUGUAAUGGCGGUGAAGAUGCCGCCUGCCCGCAGUAGGACGGAAAGACCCUAUGCACCUUUACUGUAAGCUCGUAUUGGCUUCUGAUUGAUGAUGCUUAGCGUAGGUGGGAGACUUUGAAGGCACGGUUUCGGUUGUGCUGGAGUCGAAAUGUGAAACACCACUCUUUGUCAAUUAGGAGUCUAACCUCGAUCCCGUUAGCCGGGCGAGGGACAGUGCGUGCGGGUCAGUUUGGCUGGGGCGGCUUCCUCCCAAAUGGUAACGGAGGAGCGCGAAGCUGGGCUCAGCAUGGUUGGCAACCAUGCGUCGAGCGUAUGGGUAGAAGCCCGGUUAACUGCGAGACCAACAAGUCAAGCAGAUGCGAAAGCAGGCCCAAAUGAUCCGAUGGUUGAAUGUGGAAUUGCCAUCGCUCAACGGACAAAAGGUACGCUAGGGAUAACAGGCUGAUCGGGACCAAGAGUUCACAUCGACGUCCCGGUUUGGCACCUCGAUGUCGGCUCAUCGCAUCCUGGGGCUGGAGAAGGUCCCAAGGGUCCGGCUGUUCGCCGGUUAAAGC
rnacentral:rRNA from 1 species